GCGCCCGUAGCUCAGUUGGAUAGAGCAACGGCCUUCUAAGCCGUGGGUCGCAGGUUCGAAUCCUGCCGGGCGUGCCA
rnacentral:tRNA from 4 species